ACGGGGGGUGCUAGCGUUAUUCGGAAUCAUUGGGCGUAAAGGGCGCGUAGGCGGUCUUUUAAGUCAGAUGUGAAAGCCCUCGGCUUAACUGAGGAAGUGCGUUUGAUACUAAAAGACUUGAGUAUGGGAGAGGGAAGCGGAAUUCCUGGUGUGGCGGUGAAAGGCGAAGAUAUCAGGAGGAACCCCGGUGGCGAGGGCGGCUUCCUGGCCAAAUACGGACUCUGAGCGUCGAAGGCGUGGGAGCAAACAG
rnacentral:rRNA from 1 species